rnacentral:rRNA from 1 species
GAGUAGGGCGGGACACGUGGUAUCCUGUCUGAAUAUGGGGGGACCAUCCUCCAAGGCUAAAUACUCCUGACUGACCGAUAGUGAACCAGUACCGUGAGGGAAAGGCGAAAAGAACCCCGGCGAGGGGAGUGAAAAAGAACCUGAAACCGUGUACGUACAAGCAGUGGGAGCACGCUUAGGCGUGUGACUGCGUACCUUUUGUAUAAUGGGUCAGCGACUUAUAUUCUGUAGCAAGGUUAACCGAAUAGGGGAGCCGAAGGGAAACCGAGUCUUAACUGGGCGUUAAGUUGCAGGGUAUAGACCCGAAACCCGGUGAUCUAGCCAUGGGCAGGUUGAAGGUUGGGUAACACUAACUGGAGGACCGAACCGACUAAUGUUGAAAAAUUAGCGGAUGACUUGUGGCUGGGGGUGAAAGGCCAAUCAAACCGGGAGAUAGCUGGUUCUCCCCGAAAGCUAUUUAGGUAGCGCCUCGUGAAUUCAUCUCCGGGGGUAGAGCACUGUUUCGGCAAGGGGGUCAUCCCGACUUACCAACCCGAUGCAAACUGCGAAUACCGGAGAAUGUUAUCACGGGAGACACACGGCGGGUGCUAACGUCCGUCGUGAAGAGGGAAACAACCCAGACCGCCAGCUAAGGUCCCAAAGUCAUGGUUAAGUGGGAAACGAUGUGGGAAGGCCCAGACAGCCAGGAUGUUGGCUUAGAAGCAGCCAUCAUUUAAAGAAAGCGUAAUAGCUCACUGGUCGAGUCGGCCUGCGCGGAAGAUGUAACGGGGCUAAACCAUGCACCGAAGCUGCGGCAGCGACGCUGAUGCGUUGUUGGGUAGGGGAGCGUUCUGUAAGCCUGUGAAGGUGUGCUGUGAGGCAUGCUGGAGGUAUCAGAAGUGCGAAUGCUGACAUAAGUAACGAUAAAGCGGGUGAAAAGCCCGCUCGCCGGAAGACCAAGGGUUCCUGUCCAACGUUAAUCGGGGCAGGGUGAGUCGACCCCUAAGGCGAGGCCGAAAGGCGUAGUCGAUGGGAAACAGGUUAAUAUUCCUGUACUUGGUGUUACUGCGAAGGGGGGACGGAGAAGGCUAUGUUGGCCGGGCGACGGUUGUCCCGGUUUAAGCGUGUAGGCUGGUUUUCCAGGCAAAUCCGGAAAAUCAAGGCUGAGGCGUGAUGACGAGGCACUACGGUGCUGAAGCAACAAAUGCCCUGCUUCCAGGAAAAGCCUCUAAGCAUCAGGUAACAUCAAAUCGUACCCCAAACCGACACAGGUGGUCAGGUAGAGAAUACCAAGGCGCUUGAGAGAACUCGGGUGAAGGAACUAGGCAAAAUGGUGCCGUAACUUCGGGAGAAGGCACGCUGAUAUGUAGGUGAAGUCCCUCGCGGAUGGAGCUGAAAUCAGUCGAAGAUACCAGCUGGCUGCAACUGUUUAUUAAAAACACAGCACUGUGCAAACACGAAAGUGGACGUAUACGGUGUGACGCCUGCCCGGUGC